rnacentral:tRNA from 1 species
GUGGAGAUGGCUCAGUGGUUAAGAGCACUGGCUGCUCUUCCAGAGGACCUGGGUUUGAUUCCCAGCAUCCAGG